rnacentral:tRNA from 1 species
GAGAGUAUAGCUCAGUGGUAGAGUGCCUGCUUAGGAUGCAUCAGGUCCUGGGUUCAAUCCCCAGUACUCCUG